UUCCUCUACCCUUUGACAGUCAUCUUCUACCCAAGGACUUCUGUUAAGCAAACACAGGAAGGAAGAAAAACCACUCAGUACAGCAUGGGUGAUCACAUGCACCCCACCUCCCCCGGCCCUGCACCUCAUGCCACCAUUUCCACCCGACUGUCUAGAGUACCAGAGGACUUCAUAUAAAAAUGGUUGCUGACUGUCUUCACAAAUGGGGAAGCCACCCUACCAGGAAACCAGGAAACCCAUGUGAUGCAGGAGGAACAUAACUCCACAUGCCGAGAGCAGACGCGGAAUCUGAACCCUCAACCUGGAGAUAAGACACUUGGCAAUGGAGAUUGGACAUGCCCUUCGUGGAGGGUGCAGCGGCAAUGAAGAUCACUAAACAGCACCCCUGUCUGGCCCACAGCAGUCCUGCAAAGCUACUGCUUAUAUGAAUGGAUCUAAAGGCCAUAAUACAAACACUUUA